UACGUAGGCAGCGAGCGUUGUUCGGAGUUACUGGGCGUAAAGGGUGUGUAGGCGGUUGUUUAAGUUUGGGGUGAAAUCUCCCGGCUUAACUGGGAGGGUGCGCCGAAGACUGGAAGGCUUGAGUAUGGGAGAGGUAAGCGGAAUUCCUGGUGUAGCGGUGAAAUGCGCAGAUAUCGGGAGGAACACCAAUGGCGAAGGCAGCUUGCUGGGACGGUACUGACGCUGAGGCGCGAAAGCGUGGGGAGCAAACAGG
rnacentral:rRNA from 1 species